UGACGGCUCCAACCUUGGAAAGAUAUGAUCUAUAAUCUUUGAAAAUAAAAAUAACUAUGUAUCAUAUUGGAUUAACUAUAUACUAAAAUAAAAUAACUAUAUAUCAUAUUUAUUUAAUCGUAUAUCAUGAUACCUUAACUUUGUACCAUGUUCAUAAAAGUAACGUGGUGUUUUGUAUGCUUGGAGGAGGAAGUAAUGUUAUAAUGGUUUGAUUAGGAACUAUGGUUGACA
rnacentral:lncRNA from 1 species